GACGAACGCUGGCGGCGUGCUUAACACAUGCAAGUCGAACGGAAAGGCCCUGCUUGCAGGGUACUCGAGUGGCGAACGGGUGAGUAACACGUGGGUGAUCUGCCCUGCACUUCGGGAUAAGCCUGGGAAAGUGGGUCUAAUACCGGAUAGGAGCCAUUUUUAGUGUGAUGGUUGGAAAGUUUUUUCGGUGUUGGGUGAGCUGGCGGCCUAUCAGCUUGUUGGGGGGGUAAUGGGCUACCAAGGCGGCUGCGGGUAGCCGGCCUGAGGGGGUGGACCGCCACACUGGCACUGAGAGGAGGCAGAGGCACCGACGGGAGGGAGAUGUGGGGAAGAUUGAACAAGGGGCGCAAGGCUGGUGAAGAGGGGCCGCGGGGGGGAAGACGGUCUUAGGGUUGAAAAAUCAUUUCGCUAGGGACGAAGCUUUUUGUGACGGUACCUAGAUAAGAAGCACCGGCUAACUACGUG
rnacentral:rRNA from 1 species